UGAUGCUGGCACAUUUGAAGAGGGUCUUGAUACAGGUGGACCAAGACGUGAACUUCUUACUUUGCUGAUGAGCUGCCUACAGUAUCGCCCCAUUUUUGAUGGACCUCCCAGUAGUCGUUACCUGGUAUACAAUUCAGUUGCUGUUAGGGAGGAUGAGUAUUUCUUGGCAGGAAAAAUGAUUGCUGUGUCAAUAGUUCAUGGAGGACCAGGGCCCCAUUUUCUUUCACAAGACCUGGUAAACCACAUUGUAAACCAAACCACUUUCAGUGCCACUUUGAAAGAUGUCACAGAUGAGGGUAUAGUGAAAGCGCUGCAAGAGAUUAAGAAUGCAGCCACUUUGGGGUCACUACAAGAACUGAUUUAAAAAAAACAGCACCCUGCUUCAGACUGCUGGGUGUUUUCGACGUGUGAACAGUAUUGAGGAGAAACAUG